rnacentral:misc_RNA from 1 species
CUUUUAUUUUUAUUUUUAUUUUUUUCUCUAUUUCACUUCUUUUUUUAGGGUGCAUAUAUUUAUAUCUCAAUAGUAUAAUGAUCGAAUUUAGAUAAGAGUUUACUUCUAAACUAUGUGCAUCUGAAAUCUAAUUAAAGAAUGGGUCCACAACCAUUUCAAUAUGCCAAAGCAACAGUAUUGGGACACAUAUCAGUGUGGUUUGGCUUAUUUGUCCCUAGAGAAGUAUCAGCGUUAAAAGAAUAUGAGGACAAAAUAGAGAAUUCAUGUAAGGACAGAAAUGGAAAACAAUCUUAUCGUCACUGUUAUAGUGACGAGUUUAGCUUUAGUUUCCAUUUUAUUCCUGUACUUGGCUAGCACAAAUGCAUAUAGAAAAGCAGCAGUACACACAACUAUCAUGACUGAUGACACAACCCAUGGCCAGCAUGUCAUCUGGGAUUUCAAGUGGAUAAGAAUUUGUGGAAAAAGAUUUCAAACUUUCCCAUUUGCUUGCUUGGGAGGGCCACCAAAACAUUCACACCAUUAUUGUCAACAGUAUCUGGAAACAGUAAGAUAAUGUCUUUCCUGUGAUACACCAGUGGGCAACUGUACCUUGGACAACCCCAUGGAUACUCCACUUCUUCAAACCCUAACCUCCACCAUGAUGAUACCAAAAACUCCCCAUGUGGGAAUCCUCUGUUUAUCUCUCCCCAGUCUAUAACAGAUCUUGCAUACUCAUCAUUCAUUCUCUUUGCCCCUUCUCCUACCAUCUCCACCAAUCUUGAAAAUGGUCCUUCUUCAAGUUCCUUGCACUUUGCACAUGCAUAUGCUGUUAACACUGCAUUUCCAGUGUAUGAAGCUGGUAAAGGAGGUGCCAAUCUUGGUCUAAUAUUCACUGCAUAAAGAAUUGUCGACACCCUUUCGAGAUCUUGCCCUACUUCUCCUUCUUCUUCAUAUGACAACGCCUUGCACCUCCAAAUGUGAGCGGUCACCACGUUGAAGCUUGAGAUGCGGACACCGUCAGUGGCAUUAUGGGUCUUGGCCUUCUCUUUCAACUUACAGAUGUCAGUGGAAGUUAGCCUGAAAAUCUUGAAGUCUAGUGAUUCUUUGGAGAGGUCGAACACUGAAGCAUUCGAUUCUUGGGCCAAGGGAGUGUUGAGCUUGAGCAGCUCUGCAUGAGGGAAGCUGACGCGUGGUGGGGAGCGAGCGGCGAGGAGCUGACGGUCCUUGAAUGGCACAACGGCUAAAUGCUUGCCAGCAGCUACGGCGGCCAAGUUGUCUAAGAAGGUUUUGAAGCUUAUUCCAUCAAAAGUGACAUGGUUUGUUGAUAUGCCGAUUGCGAAGCCACCACACCUAAAUGAAGUCACCUGUAAAUUAUAAAAUAAAUAACUUAAUAUUAUUGUUUUUAAGAGAGUAAUUUAAUUAAUUUCUAUAAAUGAAAAUUAGUAUAAUCAGACCAAUUAAUGAAUUAUUCAUUUUAUCAAUUUUUUUAGCAAAGAAAUUUUGUUAAAUAAAUUUUUUUUCUUAAUUAUUAAAUAUAUAAAUUCACCUAUUUAUAUAUUUUUCUAAAUUCAAAUCAACUUAAAUAACCCAAACUUAAGACUAAGUUAAAAAGCUAGAGGAUACAAAACGAAACCAAGAACAAAACAAAACAGAGAAAGAGCUCAAGACUGAUCCAUAAAAAAUGAAAUAAAUAUAAUUUUAAAAAAAAAAUGAAAUAUAAUGAAAAUUAGUGAUUAAUUAGGCUUUUAAUUACCUGAAAAAUACAUAGUGGUUGAUCUUCUUUGUUCAGAAUAUCCAUGGCCUUGAGAAUGAGUUGCCCAAACGCAGGAUUUGGAUAAACCAACUCUCCGACCUCGUCUAAGCUGCACUCACUAGAUGCCACCACAAAACCAGCUCCAGCGGCGUUACAAUCAAUCUCUAAACGACCCGUUUCAGGGUUCAUCGUCAAUCUUCCGGCAAAAAAAUCAUAUGUCACAAGUAAUUUUUCAAGGGCAAUUUUGAGUUUAUCGGCCACAACAUGAGGAGGAAAAUCUUUAUGGGAUGGAAAAAAAUGAAGUGUCUGCACGUGGAAGUUGAGCACUUGGUCUAUAUUUGAUAAGAAGAUGGAUUUUCUCACAGUUUCUUGGGAUGGAAAAACCGGAAAUGUGUCGAGGAUAGUGAUCUUGAGGUCUUGGAGAAGAGGAGGGGCCUGCUUUUGGUAAAGGGUUCCCAUGUUGAUUAUCUUGAUUAGGUGUGUGCAAGUCUUGUCAUGUUUGCACACACUUAUAGAUGUGGAGAGAGGAGUAAAUAUCUUCACGACAUUGAUGAAACUAUAAAUGCUAAUGAAGGAGUGUUAAACAUAGGAAAAUUUUAGGUAUAAUUUGCACAACUUGUGGCUAUAAGAGAUUAUCAGAGACGAAGAACAUAAAGAAAGGUACGUAUGAUCUUAUCAAGUGGUUGACAAAAGAUUCAGCGGCUACACAUUCUAGGCGAAAAUCUUCAUCCAUCAACAUAAAAAAGAUGCAUGUAUAGCGUAUAGGAAAUGCAUCUCUGAUUGAACUCCAAACAACUGGCAAUGUCAGGGUAA